UAUGGUUCUGAAAAAGAAAUUAAAUUAUUACAUACUUUCUGUUGAGAUAUGAGAGUGUUCCAAAUUAUAUAUGUCUGCCUCUAACACACGAAGUCGUGGGUUUGGUCUGAUCCCCACCAGGGGUACUUUCUCAUUGCCUCACAAAACUAACACAAUACGUAAUGUUUUCUACCAAGGGAGCAGAUUUGAGGGAUUAAAUUCACAGAGCUGUCUUCACAAUCUUACAAACUAAAACAAAGCACUCGAUUGCAAAUGCCAUAAAUUCAAACAUUUUAAAUUUUUAGCAACAGAUCAUUUUACCCAGCUAACACAUAACGUUAGUACAACGUUGUGCCAAUGUUGUACAAAUGUUAUGUUGUUGUACAACGUUGUGGCAACGUUGGGACAACGUUAAGAAACGAUUUUACAUUUAUUUUUUAUAGUUUAAAUUCGUUCAUAUAGUCCAUAAAAUGCUUAUAUAAUGUAAAUGAUAGCAUAAGAAAUGAUUUGCAAUUAAAAAAAAUAAUUUCAAAGUUUGGUUACAAAAUAACGUUAUUACAACGUUGAAUUAACGUUGUGAAGAAAACAUUUUUUUACAAGUCCUAACAACUUUGUGACAACGUUGCACGAACGUUGUGUUUAUAUAUAGACAUAGUUUCGAAUCUGGAGUUUUGAUAUUUUCAAAUAAUGUAUUAAUUACUCUUGAAUAAAAUCAUUUAUUUUUGUUUAUGCAUAUUAAUCCCUUAAAAAUGUGAUUUGGUUGCAGUACAUGCGAUAUUGAUUAAUUCGAAUCUGAUACUCUACCUACCUCUAUCUGUUAUUGGCGCGCGUAGAAAGCAUAAGCUGCAUUUAUCGGCUUAAUCAUUAUUCAAGUACAGCACACAGACAAGCAUCACGCAGAAACUCAACAUGGAUGCUAUGGAAGAGAAUCCAGUACCAGAGUGAAAAUUUGCAGAUGUGUAUGAGAGUGCUGAAAGAUUUUAUUUCAGUUUUGUGCUUUGACACUGAAAAGGAAUUUUGCUGUAAUUCCAAAAUAUUAUUGACAUAUUUUAAAAUGUGAACAUUUGAAGUGAGAAAUGUUUUUGAAACUUGUAACAUACCAAAAGAAUAAUAAUCAAUAUUUUACUUAACUUGAUUAUUUAGAAGAAUAAUUUGGAGUUUCUGUUGGGUAUUUUCAUGAUAAUAUGAUGGGACAUGUAAAAAAAUGUGGAUCGUAAUCACUCUGUUAUUUGUUUGUCCACAUGUUAUGUUAAUGAAUUUCAGGUAUCUGACCCACAAUUGAGCUAGCUUUCUCCAUAGAUCUUAAUGUUAAUUUUGAUUGCUGGUGACCGAAUACCAGUAGACUUGAUAAUAUUCCUUCACACUGCGCCUCCCCCUUUUCAAAUAUGCUAUCAUUCUAGUCCCAUAAUGUUACAUUCUGUGAUGGUUCUAGUUCGCAUAUAUUGUUUGUCAUUUUUCUCAUUCUCAGGAAAUAAAUAAAGACAAAAGUGUA